rnacentral:rRNA from 1 species
GACGAACGCUGGCGGCGUGCCUAAUACAUGCAAGUAGAACGCACAGUUUAUACCGUAGCUUGCUACACCAUAGACUGUGAGUUGCGAACGGGUGAGUAACGCGUAGGUAACCUGCCUGGUAGCGGGGGAUAACUAUUGGAAACGAUAGCUAAUACCGCAUAAUAUUGAUUAUUGCAUGAUAAUUGAUUGAAAGAUGCUAUUGCAUCACUACCAGAUGGACCUGCGUUGUAUUAGCUAGUAGGUGAGGUAACGGCUCACCUAGGCGACGUUACAUAGCCGACCUGAGAGGGUGAUCGGCCACACUGGGACUGAGACACGGCCCAGACUCCUACGGGGGGCAGCAGUAGGGAAUCUUCGGCAAUGGACGAAAGUCUGACCGAGCAACGCCGCGUGAGUGAAGAAGGUUUUCGGAUCGUAAAGCUCUGUUGUAAGAGAAGAACGGGUGUGAGAGUGGAAAGUUCACACUGUGACGGUAUCUUACCAGAAAGGGACGGCUAACUACGUG